rnacentral:rRNA from 1 species
AACGAACGCUGGCGGCAGGCCUAACACAUGCCAGUCGAGCGCGCCCUUCGGGGUGAGCGGCUGACGGGUGAGUAACGCGUGGGAACGUUCCCUUCUCUGCGGAAUAGCCUCGGUAAACGGAGAGUAAUACCGCAUACGCCCUGUGGGUGAAAGAUUUAUCGUAGAAGGAUCGGCCCGCGUUGUAUGAGGUAGUUGGUGGGGUAAUGGCCCACCAAGCCGACGAUCCAUAGCGGGUUUGAGAGGAUGAUCAGCCACACUGGGACUGAGACACGGCCCAGACUCCUACGGGAGGCAGCAGUGGGGAAUCUUAGACAAUGGGGGCAACCCUGAUCUAGCCAUGCCGCGUGAGUGAUGAAGGCCUUAGGGUUGUAAAGCUCUUUCAGCUGGGAAGAUAAUGACGGUACCAGAAGAAGAAGCCCCGGCUAACUCCGUG